UACAGAGGGGGCAAGCGUUGUUCGGAAUUACUGGGCGUAAAGGGCGCGUAGGCGGCCUUCUAAGUCAGACGUGAAAUCCCUCGGCUCAACCGGGGAACUGCGUCUGAUACUGAAAGGCUUGAAUCCGGGAGAGGAAUGCGGAAUUCCCGGUGUAGCGGUGAAAUGCGUAGAGAUCGGGAGGAACACCAGCGGCGAAGGCGGCAAACUGGAUAGGCACUGACACUCAACAACGAAAGCGUGGGGAGCAAACAGG
rnacentral:rRNA from 1 species